CUCAGGGUCUGUCCUAAUGUGACUGGCAGCUAGAGUAGCCCACUGUGAGACCCAGCGAGGACCACCAACCAUCAAUUCCUCAGGCUUUCCUCUGUCUCCGGUACCAGACCUCUGGGAGGUAAACCUCUCUCUUUGGUCAGCUACCCCCACUCUGGACACACACACAGCCUGCUGCUCAUCCACACCAAACACCUGCAACAUCCUCUUCCUCUUCCUGAUCUCCAUUCUCCAGCUCAAUGGUAUAGGUCCCUCUGUCACUAUAAUCAUCCCUGUGGUGAUAGCACUCAUCACGGCCACUCUGCUGAUGUGGUGCAGAGCCACGUCGCCUCUCAACAAAUCCACUUGCCACUUUGGAAGUCGAAGACUUGCGACGACGAGCAGGACUGUCCUCCUCUGCAAAGAGCCCCUCUGGUACGUUAGCACGACCCUCUCUGAUCUUCAUCCCUGCACCGCCCCAAAGUCCCCAUGAGUGUUCCUCCAUUGUUGCAGCCCUGCGUUGCUCUCCAAGUGCGUUCUCUGAGUCACUCUGAGUACCGUCCUCAUGUUUACUGCCUAGCAAAGGAGAGGAGGAGAGGAAUAGAGAAGAAGGUAAUGGGUCAGAAUGAAAAUAAAGAAAGAGACAAAGGGGGUUGAAGGGAGGAUUAGGCUAAAUUAAGCUGCAAGGAAUACAUACAUGCUGCACAAAUGGCUGUACACACACACACCUUUAAGACUCUUCAGUUGUACAGGCACAUCACUCUUCACACUUUCCCCGUCAUCCUCUGCUACAGUGUCUUUCAGAGCCAACGGCAGCUCAUUCUGAGCCAGCCAGUCGGCAACUUUGACCUCCGCUGCUACCAUGGCUGUCUGAAGUGGACUCAGCUCCUCUCCGACAGCCCUUUUAGGACGUGGCCUGGUCUCCGGUCCCACCUUUGCCACUCGAUCUUUGACGGUCGCUUUACCUGUAGCCCCAGGGUCAAACUCAAUGGUGAAGGAGGCAUGGCCAUGGGUGGGCUCUGCACCAGAAGACGCACCAGCCUCUUGCUCUUGUGAGGGGGCUUCACCACUCACUUUACCUGUUGAUGGAGUAUCCUUGGUUGGGAUCUCGAAGUAGCUAGGCUCCUGAUUGGAAGUAGACUUUGGGGCCUCUGUGCUUUUCUUGCUGUCUGUCAAAAUUUAAGCAACCACAAAGUCUACUAAAUAUAAGUUAAGCACUAAUAUAUUUAUAAAAAGUGAACAAAUUUAAAACUACUAACAGCCAAUUUUAGUAAUACAAAUAGCACAAACCACAUUAGUUACUAGGCAUGUCACAAGAACUGAUACGUACUGGAUACGUACCAAAUCGAUAUCAAAAUUCUGAAAACAUGUCGGUGCUUGUUUUGCUUAGUACCAAAGGUACCCGGGACCCAACACGUGAAAGAUAGCAAAGUACUGCUGAGGUGAAAGCUCCGCCUUGAUUUAUCCAAUCUUAGACUGUAUAAAAACAUCCAACAGAAAAGAGUUUGAAAACCGGGGUGAAGUUAGUUUUGUUACCUUCAAUUGCUCUGUGUAAAACCUUGAUUUAUCACAGUUGCAAAGCUAAUUUAGAUUUUCACAGUUUUGAUCACCUGAAAAAUCACCAAACAUGACUAUGCAGUUUGCAGCGCUAACAGCUAGAUGUCUGUCCGACAUGUCUGUCACUGUAGGCGGAGUCAGGGACCAUCUCAAAAGUGCAAUACGAUCCAUUUCAAUCAUCAAUAAAUGUUUUGUUUUUGAACAAAAAAAUAUGAAACCACUGCCAAUAUAGAUAGUGACCACCCUUAAACAUUUCACACCUGUGAGUUUGUAAAGAAAAGUUAAGAAAAUUAAGUAAUUCAUUUAAUAAUUAAAAAUGCACAGUAUAAGGUUGUAAUUUGAACAGCUUGCUCAUUUAUGAAUAUAUUGACAUCAAAUCAACUUUCAUCAGCUUUCACAGCGGUUACUUGUUUUUUGUCAUCUUCAAAUGUUUUUAUUUAAACAGUGUAUGUUGAGGUACAUGAGCUUUACUGUUUUUGUUUUUUACUGUGGUAUCAAAUUGCUAUUGAGACUGGUAUCGGCAUCUACUACUUAAUUUCUGGUAUCAUGACAUCCCUGU